rnacentral:lncRNA from 1 species
GAGUAUGCAUCGGUAUCAAAGCAAUGGGGGUUAUAUGUGGACUGAGUGCAGCAAUGCGAGAAUAGAGAGAGAAGGGCUAUCCCUAUCGGAGACUAGCAUCUUCAGCGGGUCUUGCAGCAAUAGACGAGAGUAGAGAAAGUAACACAAUUAAAUAGUCAUAUUGUUCCAACAAUAUUAAUUAAUGUCACACCCAUAGAUUCUUCCUCGACACCGUGCGAGGAAGCUAUCCCUGAGCAAACAUUCCAGUUAAGUAAUAGUUCAAGUUGUAUAAUAUCGGGGC